GAUCAUUAAAGAAAUUUAAUAAUUUUGAAAAUGGAUUUUUUUGUUUUGGCAAGAGCAUGAGAGCUUUUACUGGGCAAGAAGACAGGAGAUGGAGAGUCCAGCCGGGCCUGCGCUUAAGUGCGCGGUCUUGCUAGGCUUGUAAGUUUCUUUCUUGCUAUUCCAAACGGUGAGAGAUUUCUGUGCUUUUGUUAUAGGACAAUUAAAACCGUUUCAAUACAACACACUGUGGAGUUUUCAUAUCUUUGCAACUUUUUCUUUGGGCAUUCGAGCAAUCGGGGCCCAGAGGUAACAAACACAAACAAUUUUAUCUAUUCAUUAAAUUUUUGUCAAAAACAAGAAUUUUCGUAACUGGAAAUUUUAAAAUAUUAAAAACUUUCAACAACGGAUCUCUUGGUUCUCGCAUCGAUGAAGAACGCAGCGAAAUGCGAUACGUAAUGUGAAUUGCAGAAUUCCGUGAAUCAUCGAAUCUUUGAACGCACAUUGCGCCCCUUGGUAUUCCAGGGGGCAUGCCUGUUUGAGCGUCAUUUCCUUCUCAAACAUUCUGUUUGGUAGUGAGUGAUACUCUUUGGAGUUAACUUGAAAUUGCUGGCCUUUUCAUUGGAUGUUUUUUUUCCAAAGAGAGGUUUCUCUGCGUGCUUGAGGUAUAAUGCAAGUACGGUCGUUUUAGGUUUUACCAACUGCGGCUAAUCUUUUUUUAUACUGAGCGUAUUGGAACGUUAUCGAUAAGAAGAGAGCGUCUAGGCGAACAAUGUUCUUAAAGUUUGACCUCAAAUCAGGUAGGA
rnacentral:misc_RNA from 1 species